GUCUANNUUUGGNAGUUAUUAAUAGUCUGGCCUGCUCACUGNAUAAAAUAUUAAAGAGCCGCGGUAAUUUGACCGUGCAAAGGUAGCAUAAUCAUUAGUUCUUUAAUUGAGAACUGGCAUGAAAGGUCGGACAAGAGAAAAUCUGUCUCCAUUGUUAAAAUUAAAAUUGACUUUUAAGUGAAAAGGCUUAAAUACUUCAGGGGGACGAUAAGACCCUAUAAAACUUUAUAUAUGCAACAAUACAGUUGAAUUAANAGCAUAAAAACUUAUUCGAUAAAAUAUAUUUAGUUGGGGCGACUGAGGUAUAAUUUAUAGUAACUGAUUAAAAGCAAGACAAAUAAUAUUUGAUUAACUUUAAUUGAUCCUUUUUAAAGAUUAAAAGAUUAAGUUACUUUAGGGAUAACAGCGUAAUUUUUUCUAAGAGUCCAUAUCGAAGAAAAAGAUUGCGACCUCGAUGUUGAAUUAAAAUNAUCUUUAUNAGUGCAGCANCUAUAGAUAAGAAAGNCUGNUCGACUUUUAANNUUUUGUC
rnacentral:rRNA from 1 species